GGGCCAGUGGCAGAAUGGAUAGCGUCUGAACGGAUCAGAAGAUUCUAGGUUCGACUCCUGGCUGGCUCG